AUUGAACCACUGGUUCCAGUAUGAUCACCGAAGUUAAGCAACAUCGAGCUUUGUCAGUAACUAGAUGGGUGACCGCUUAAGAAUACUAGGUGCUGUA